CCUACGGGAGGCAGCAGUGGGGAAUAUUGGGCAAUGGGCGCAAGCCUGCCCCAGCAACGCCGCGUGAAGGAAGAAGGCUUUCGGGUUGUACACUUCUUUUCUCAGGGACGAAGCAAGUGACGGUACCUGAGGAAUAAGCCACGGCUAACUACGUGCCAGCAGCCGCGGUAAUACGUAGGUGGCAAGCGUUAUCCGGAUUUACUGGGUGUAAAGGGCGUGUAGGCGGGAAAGCAAGUCAGAUGUGAAAACCAUGGGCUCAACCUGUGGCCUGCAUUUGAAACUGUUUUUCUUGAGUACUGGAGAGGCAGACGGAAUUCCUAGUGUAGCGGGGAAAUGCGUAGAUAUUAGGAGGAACACCAGUGGCGAAGGCGGUCUGCUGGACAGCAACUGACGCUGAGGCGCGAAAGCGUGGGGAGCAAACAGGAUUAGAUACCCCUGUAGUC
rnacentral:rRNA from 1 species